GUAAUAGCUCACUGGUCGAGUGAAGUUGCGCGGAAAAUUACCGGGGCUAAGUUAUCAACCGAAAUUGCGGAUUUGUAAUUUAUUACAAGUGGUAGAGGAGCAUUCUAUUGUAGGAUGAAGUCAGAGCGUGAGCACUGGUGGACGAGAUAGAAGAGAGAAUGCUGGAAUAAGUAGCGAGAGCAGGGUGAGAAUCCCUGCCGUCGAAAGUCUAAGGUUUCCUGGGGAAGGUUCGUCCGCCCAGGGUUAGUCAGGACCUAAGGAGAGGCCGAAAGGCGUAUCUGAUGGAUAGCAGGUUGAUAUUCCUGCACUAUAUAAUACUUAAAAGAUGCAACUGACGCAGAAGUGGAAGGUGAGCAAGGAAAUGGAAAAACUUGUUCCGCAAGGGGGAGUGAAAAUAAAGUAACGAAGCACCAAGAAGCACGCUGACGAGAAAAGGUUGUAGAUCUUGUAUUAUAUACUUGUACCGCAAACCGACACAGGUAGAUGAGGAGAGGAUCCUAAGACGAUCGGGAGAAGCAUUGUUAAGGAACUCGGCAAAUUGACCCCGUAACUUUGGAAGAAGGGGUACUGGUGUAACAGCCAGUCGCAGUGAAUAGUCCCAAGCAACUGUUUAACAAAAACAUAGGUUUCUGCUAAAUCGAAAGAUGAAGUAUAGGAGCUGACGCCUGCCCAGUGCUGGAAGGUUAAGGGAACGUGUUAAUAGUAAUAUGAAGCACCGAACUGAAGCCCCAGUGAACGGCGGCCGUAACUAUAACGGUCCUAAGGUAGCGAAAUUCCUUGUCAGGUAAGUUCUGACCCGCACGAAAGGCGUAAUGAUUUGGGAGCUGUCUCGACAAUGUCCCCGGCGAAAUUGUAGUACUAGUGAAGAUGCUAGUUACCUGCGACAAGACAGAAAGACCCCAUGGAGCUUUACUGCAGUUUGAUACUGAGUCAGGCUAAUUUAUGUACAGGAUAGUUAGGAGGCUGUGAGGCUUAAGCGCCAGCUUAAGAAGAGCCAACGUUGGGAUACUAACCUUAAAUUAGUUUGAAUCUAACUCGUGAUCGUAAUCCGGUCAGAGGACAAUGUCAGACGGGCAGUUUGACUGGGGCGGUCGCCUCCUAAAGAGUAACGGAGGCGUUCAAAGGUUCCCUCAGCGCGGACAGAAAUCGCGCAAUAGAGUGUAAAGGCAGAAGGGAGCUUAACUGGGAGACUUACAAGUCGAGCAGAUACGAAAGUAGGACUUAGUGAUCCGGUGGAUUAUGAAUGGAAAUGCCAUCGCUCAACGGACAAAAGUUACCCUGGGGAUAACAGGCUUAUCUCCCCCAAGAGUUCACAUCGACGGGGAGGUUUGGCACCUCGAUGUCGGCUCAUCGCAUCCUGGGGCUGUAGUCGGUCCCAAGGGUUGGGCUGUUCGCCCAUUAAAGCGGUACGCGAGCUGGGUUCAGAACGUCGUGAGACAGUUCGGUCCCUAUCUGUCGCAGGCGCAGGAUAUUUGAGGAGAUCUGCCCCUAGUACGAGAGGACCAGGGUGGACGAACAGAUGGUGCAACAGUUGUUCUACCAAGAGCAUAGCUGUGUAGCCAAGUUCGGAGUGGAUAAACGCUGAGAGCAUCUAAGUGUGAAGCCAACUCCAAGAUAAGAUAUCCCAUACCGUUAAGGUAGUAAGAUUCCAUGAAGACUACGUGGUUGAUAGGUUGGGGGUGUAAGUGAAGCGAUUCACUGAGCUGACCAAUACUAAUAAAUCGAGGGCUUAACCA
rnacentral:rRNA from 1 species